rnacentral:rRNA from 1 species
CACGUAGGGCGCAAGCGUUGUCCGGAAUUAUUGGGCGUAAAGAGCUCGUAGGCGGUCUGUUGCGUCUGCUGUGAAAACCCGGGGCUUAACCCCUGGCUUGCAGUGGAUACGGACAGACUAGAGGUAGGUAGGGGAGAAUGGAAUUCCUGGUGUAGCGGUGAAAUGCGCAGAUAUCAGGAGGAACACCGGUGGCGAAGGCGGGUCUCUGGGCAACAACUGACGCUGAGGAGCGAAAGCGUGGGGAGCGAACAGG